AUUGACCAGGUCACAAAUAGAUUUCAUUUUCACUGAACACCAUCGGUUUUCUAAAACAAAUAGCUCAACAUAGUACUAAUCCUAUUUAUCCAAAUAACUAAGCAAUAAGUCCACUAUGGCAAUGAAACUUCAUACUUCUUAGUAUGCGAAUACCAAUAGUAGUCACCAAUUUAGAGAAGUUUUAUUUUACAUAAAAAAUUAUUUUGGCGCUAUAAACGAAAUUUCUCAAUCAGGAUAUCAUUGCAAUGAUAAAAAGCCAUAAUAAGAAGAGCGGAACUUAAAUGUACAAUCCGAAGGGACAAAAUUCAACCAAAUUUUAGCAUAAUCAGACCUAAAUUUUGAAGGCAACUCCGAAACACUUAGCGAUGAAUACAUGUAAUAAACACCCUUAAUAACAAACAUUUAGUGCUGAAUGUGUAAAAUACACCCUCUUGAACAGGGGAGCGGAAUCAGAACAUCUGAGAGUUUUAUGGAGCCAUGGCUUUGCCAAUGGUUCAGAUAAAAUAGAUCCAUUUGGU
rnacentral:lncRNA from 1 species